GACGAACGCUGGCGGCGUUCUUAACACAUGCAAGUCGAACGGAAAGGCCCUGCUUUUGUGGGGUGCUCGAGUGGCGAACGGGUGAGUAACACGUGAGUAACCUGCCCUUGACUUUGGGAUAACUUCAGGAAACUGGGGCUAAUACCGGAUAGGAGCUCCUGCUGCAUGGUGGGGGUUGGAAAGUUUCGGCGGUUGGGGAUGGACUCGCGGCUUAUCAGCUUGUUGGUGGGGUAGUGGCUUACCAAGGCUUUGACGGGUAGCCGGCCUGAGAGGGUGACCGGCCACAUUGGGACUGAGAUACGGCCCAGACUCCUACGGGAGGCAGCAGUGGGGAAUAUUGCACAAUGGGCGGAAGCCUGAUGCAGCAACGCCGCGUGCGGGAUGACGGCCUUCGGGUUGUAAACCGCUUUCGCCUGUGACGAAGCGUGAGUGACGGUAAUGGGUAAAGAAGCACCGGCUAACUACGUG
rnacentral:rRNA from 1 species